CAGGCUUUCAUACGGAGCCGCUCGGCAUCCUUACUAUUUUGUGAUGGGUUGAUGAUGGAUUUACAGAUAUUCAUGGACAGACGUACCUGAUGUGGCACAUCUGAAAAACAAUGACGAGUCUGGGACCAUUCAUCUGAAGGAUUAGACUGAAACAACUGAGAUGGUGAAUUCAUGUGUUCGUCAGAUGUCCGAGAGGGGGUCUUGAGCUACUGAAUAAACUACAAUGCUGGUCUAUGGAAGUAGAACAACUGCUGGAGGGUUUGUGAAUGCUUCCAGUCAGUUAACAAUGUUCUUUAUUAGCUGGAUUUCACAUGGGACUGAUGUGAAAGACACCAGAUACAGGCAACACCUGGCCAUGACGGAGUCACAUGACACUGAGGUCAGAACGACACACAAUGCCUGGCUUUGUGUUCAGGUGUUCUGCUAGACUCCCGUGUGAUCAGCUCUUUGUGGCACAUGCAGAAAGAGCAGAAUAUAUGAACUUUCAUUUCCAGACCAAAGUAGAUUUAUUUGUGCCUCAUGACCACUUCCUGAUGCAAUUCAGAGAAAACAGCCAACCAGCUUUCCUGAGACAUUAAAACAUGAAAUUUGACUUGCUCAUUUUACCUUAGUGUCAUUAAACUGUUUCGAGAACAAAACGUGAAGUGUGAGAGCUACUUUGCAUUAUGCAUG